rnacentral:sRNA from 1 species
GGAGGAACGUACCAACUGCGGGGCGGGGAGUGCGCGCGAAGACCCCCGCAGGCUGCGCUCCCGGAAGUAACCCCUGGCGCAUCCCGGAAUCCAGAGCGCCCACUACCGCCUUUGGCCAGGCCGUCUGGGCGCGUUUCGGGAGCUCAGGCCUGCGGUGCUGCAUGUUGGCCAACACGUCGGGUGGUGGGCGCGCGGUUCAGGGGUCAGGGGCCGCUAGGCGGCGGGCGGCGGAGCUGCGGCUCUUACCUGCCGAGGAGGCGCCGGCUCUGCGGUGCGGAAUUGCGCCGGACUUCCCAGCUUAGCCAGUGGCUCCGCAGGCUGCCGGCUCCACCCCUCAGAUUCAUUUGGAUUCAAGGUUGGCUGUCAACAGCGCCAGCUGCACUGUCAUCCUAAAGUACUUCUGUGGAAGAGAACAUGGUGGUGUUACUGUUGUACCAGUGAUGACACAAGAUCCCAGAUGUACCUGACAGGGCUGCGAGGAUUGAAGAUUGUGAAGCAAUAGCCUAAGUUACCGUGAUACUGAAUCAGUGCGCAGCAGGGCAGGACGCUGGCUGUGUACACCACAUGAAGAGGGCUUCCUUGAACCCAAGAAUUUGGAAAUGUUAAGAAUUUUAGUCCUUGCUUCAUAUAUCCUUCCCUGGACAG